UGGGGAAUAUUGGACAAUGGAGGAAACUCUGAUCCAGCAAUUCUGUGUGUGUGAAGAAGGUUUUAGGACUGUAAAACACUUUUAGUAGGGAAGAAAAAAAUGACGGUACCUACAGAAGAAGCAACGGCUAAAUACGUGCCAGCAGCCGCGGUAAUACGUAUGGGGCGAGCGUUGUCCGGAAUUAUUGGGCGUAAAGGGUACGUAGGCGGUCUAUUAAGUCAGGUGUGAAAGCGUGAGGCUUAACCUCAUUAAGCACUUGAAACUGAUAGACUUGAGUGAAGGAGAGGAAAGUGGAAUUCCUAGUGUAGCGGUGAAAUGCGUAGAUAUUAGGAGGAAUACCGGUGGCGAAGGCGACUUUCUGGACUUUUACUGACGCUCAGGUACGAAAGCGUGGGGAGCAAACAGG
rnacentral:rRNA from 1 species